rnacentral:piRNA from 1 species
UAAGUCUUGAUGAUGUAUCCG